rnacentral:rRNA from 1 species
CGGGGUGCACCAGGCGCGAAACCUCUGCAAUAGGCGAAAGCCUGACAGGGUUACUCUGAGUGACUUUCGCUAAGAAAGUCUUUUGGCACCUCUAAAAAGGGUGCAGAAUAAGGGGUGGGCAAGUCUGGUGUCAGCCGCCGCGGUAAUACCAGCACCCCGAGUGGUCGGGACGAUUAUUGGGCCUAAAGCAUCCGUAGCCGGUUCUGCAAGUCCCCCGUUAAAUCCAGCUGCUCAACAGAUGGGCCGCGGAGGAUACUACAGAGCUAGGAGGCAGGAGAGGCAAGCGGUACUCAGUGGGUAGGGGUAAAAUCCGUUGAUCCAUUGAAGACCACCAGUGGCGAAGGCGGCUUGCCAGAAUGCGCUCGACGGUGAGGGAUGAAAGCUGGGGGAGCAAACCGGAUUAGAUACCCGGGUAGUCCCAGCUGUAAACGAUGCAGACUCGGUGAUGGGUUGGCUUCGCGCUAACCCAGUGCCGCAGGGAAGCCGUUAAGUCUGCCGCCUGGGUAGUACGGUCGCAAGACUGAAACUUAAAGGAAUUGGCGGGGGAGCAC